CCCAGAUCGUUUACCGUGAAAAAAUUAGAGUGUUCAAAGCAGGCAGAUCCAAUUUUCUGCCACCGAAUACAUUAGCAUGGGAUAAUGGAAUAGGACCCUGUCCUCCUAUUUUCAGUUGGUUUUGGCAGCGCGAGGACUAGGGUAAUGAUUAAUAGGGAUAGUUGGGGGCAUUAAUAUUUAAUUGUCAGAGGUGAAAUUCUUGGAUUUAUGAAAGAUUAACUUCUGCGAAAGCAUCUGCCAAGGAUGUUUUCAUUAAUCAAGAACGAAAGUUAGGGGAUCGAAGACGAUCAGAUACCGUCGUAGUCUUAACCAUAAACGAUGCCGACCAGCGAUUAGGAGACGUUGAAUACAAAACACCACCAUCGGUGCGGUCGUCCUUGGCGUUGGUCUUCAAAAGCCAGCGCGGGGGUGGCUUAGCCCGGUGGCACCGGUGAAUGACUCCCCUAGCAGCUUGUGAGA
rnacentral:rRNA from 1 species